GGACUGGGGCUCAGUGGUAGAGUGCAUGCCUAGCACGUGUGAGGCACUGAGUUUGAUCCUCAGCACCA
rnacentral:tRNA from 1 species